UCAGACGGCCGGGCGGUCGCCGCUCGCGUCCUUGCGGCGCGGGGGGAGGAAAGUCCGGGCUCCACGGCGAGAUGGCGGCGGGUAACGCCCGCCGGGGGCGACCCCAGGGAUAGCGCCACAGAAAGCAAACCGCCUGGGUCUCUUCGAGGCCCCGGUAAGGGUGAAAGGGUGGGGUAAGAGCCCACCGCGGACCGGGCAACCGGGACGGCAUGGCAAGCCCCGCCAGGAGCAAGACCGAAUAGGGGCGUCGCGUCUUUGGGUUCACGCCCAGGGACGGGCCUCGCCGGCCCAGACGCCCGGGUUGGUUGCAGGAGCCGUCCGGCGACGGGCGGCCUAGAGGAAUGACCGUCGCGUCCGCGCCUCACCGCGCGGGCGUUACAGAACCCGGCUUACAGGCCGUCUGAUCCC
rnacentral:RNase_P_RNA from 1 species